AGCCUGCUUCUCCCUCUGCCUGUGUCUCUGCCUCUCUCUCUCUCUGUGUGUGACUAUCAUAAAUAAAUUAAAAAAAAAAUUUUUUUUAAUUAAAAAUGAGAAAAUAGAGGUUAGUAGCUCUCCCCAUGUAACACAGCUUGUCAAGAGUAGAAGAAAGAUCUAAACCAGUGUCUGAGACCAAAAGCUAUGCCUUAUCUCAACUCCACACUGCUUUCAGAAGAGGAGUUUGCUACUGGGGGACAUCACUCAGCAAGAAGCAUGAAGGAACUUCUGCAUCAGGUUGGAUUGACUCUAAACUAAACAAAAACAGAAACAAAUCAGCAUAAGUAUGAUCACAUCAAUAACACAACCACUUAAAAGAAGAAAAAUAACGAUUCCAAGUAAUUUCUUAAUCCGAGGACUGUAAUUUUCCAUCAUCAGGGAGUGUUCUAAGGAUAAAUAAGAACUCUAAGAAAACCUUGAAAUCAACUUGCAAGGCUAUCAUUCAGAAUAGAAGAGAUGAAGAGUUUCCCAGACAAACAAAAACUAAAG